UCAAUUUAAAGAGCAUGCUGUAAUUACAAAAUUCAAGUCAGCCUGUACGCAAAAUGCACCCAGUAAGUGCGAACUUGGUGAGCGAAUCAAGUUUUUAAGAUAUUCCUUCGAAAAGUGCUUGCAUGACGUUCUCCUUUCUAUUUUUCGAGAAAAGCUUUUUGGUGCAUAUAUGUGGAACACCAGUGCAUUAUGCGACACUAUUCAGGUGUAUAUUUUGCGAGGCUGGUGCCGCUGACAGCAUUUCUGUCAAAUGGCUAAACUUCACAUAUUGUCUCGCUUCAAUAUUGAAAUAACAAUAUGCCCUAUCAAAAUAUUAAUGAAAAAGUAUUUUUAUGGAUAUCAGUCCUCGUAAAAUAUACGUUCUAACAUUGAUAAAAAGUAAUGACACAACUCAUUAUUUACCCGUUCAUUACAUGCACCAACCACCCCAAAUUAGCACUACACUAGAUAGAUUGCAGUGCACUGCAUUGCAACACAGGGGCACUGGGGUUUGCCAUCCCCAGUAGGAAAUCGGACGCUUGUCUGGUUGACUUGCUUGCCUUUCCUCUCCUUGCUUUUUCUAUCUCUUUGAACAAACUGCACUACCUUGUCGAAGAGGAAGCGUUAUCCUCUUUCAGAGUUAAAUAAUUUGUCGAGCAAUAAUUUUACAGUUCCAGCAACUACAGCAUAAACUGGAAAACGAAACCGAAUCUGAUUUGUUCUCCGUGCUCACAGAGCGCGUCACCAGGGGGCACCGUGCGCUGCGCCUCCGGUCUCGAAGGAUCUAACAAGCGGUUGAUGCAGCAGCGAAUGUGUAGUCAGUCGGUUUUUAUCGUUUUAUGUUGUGCAGAUUGUUAGUUCACCGUAAAUAUGUCUUGAUUUGUACUCAAGAGUGGAGCAAGGCCCCAAGGAACAGAGAUUGACGCAACGGGAGCGAAGAACAGAAGCGAUGGAUGGUUACGCUGGUUGACUCUCGGCAUGUUCAAAAUGGCGAAGUUCCGAAUUUGUCGCUGUGUGACGUGCGCGUGUGUGCUCGUGAUGUGCCGUCAUAGCGCGGGGAUAUUUGUGCUGAAUGUGUUUCACUUCGUCUACAAAACUCUGCACGCAAUGGCAUCGAAGAAGUCGUGUGUUCAGGUGCACGUAUGUGCUUGCUUGGAUACAGAAAGCCUCGCUGAGCUCAGCCGUGUUGGCUCAGCGCUACCCCCUCAACGGAUGUUCAACAGUCUACGUGCUCGUAACUUGCUGACGAGACCUCCUUGCUGUUGCAACUCUGAGGACAAUUGCUUCAAAUGGGAAGGAACAACCAGCAGUGCCAGCGCUAUUUUUACAUGAGGACACCUCCUUGCUGUUGCAACUCAGAGGACAAUUGCUUCAAAUGGGAAGGAACAACCAGCAGUGCCAGCACUAUUUGUACAUGAGGACGACGAGAGGGUUCCACUCACCCCCUGUGUGGUGUAUUCUGGCCACAACCUGGAACAGGCAGAGUUUCUCCACCUCUGUGUCGACAAGGAGCGGCUGUUCAUGGUCAAAAAUGCGGAGGAAGGGGUCAUCGCAAUCAUGAGUGCAUUUUUUGUAUUGAACAUAGUAUAUGGGCCUAAAUACUUCAACACCAGUGCAGUACUGGAACGAUUGUUUUUUGGUUUGAAUGUAAUAAUGCCAAGUGGUUGUUACAAAGUUUGUGAACAGAGUUGUGCAGGCAAUGCGACACCGAGGUUCAUGUACGUUACCAUACGAAUGCUAGCCUGACAAUUUUGUGCAAUAGCUUGAGCAAUAGUUUUGUGCAAUUUUUAAUGUAUCAUUUUCUUUCUUUUUGAUCAUGAUAAUAGCAUGAUCCAGUAACUUCUUCCGCUGCUUGUGCCAACCACCUAUAGACUGCACCUUUUUUUGUUCUGAUGACUUGACAGACAAUGUAAUAGCGCCCAAGUGUAGGUCAGCAAAAAAUAAACGUGGUGUACUGUAGUCUGCACGUACUUAUCAAAAACAUUGCUGGGUGUUGCUAUCUGCUGAAAAGAAUAUUACAAUACGUCUAGUUCUAAUGAGGUCUGCCUUAACAUUAAUGUGUGUGAAACAAUUGUCAGCAGUUUUAUACAAAGAUUAUAGCUUGCUUGCUCUUCCUUAACAUCGUUUGUUUAUGAAACCUAUUUGCCAAUCAGGGAACAAUGUCCCAGCUUAUAAGUACUGCAUGAUACAACUGUUAACGUUUGUAUUCCCUUAUAGGGCACAUCAACACUGGCAGCCAGUGCUCAACUUUUCGUAACAUGCUGCUUGGUCAAUAUUUUAUAUUUUGCGCAUGUGUUGCAUUGUGUAACCUACCCAAUACAAAAGUUUUUGUGGUUUGACUGUCCUUUUAUGAACUAUGUUUUAUGUUUAUUAUGUAUAACUUAGCAGCUGAGGCCUGACAUACUAGUCAAAACGCAGCAGAGUAUCCAAUUUUUAUAAGGUUUUACAAGGUUUUUACAAGUUUUGGAUUGUAAAACAAUGUUGCGUGGAACAAUUAUCAGGCUGAAGUACUGUUACAUUGUCAUGAAUACCGGCAGCCUUUGCUUAACCUUUAUGAAUCUGCUGGCAGGCUGUAGUAUCUUUAGCUCGUUUAGUUUUUGUACAUGUGUUGCCAAUGCCUCAUCCGAGUGAAAGCUAGUCGCUUAUAUACUACAUAUACUGGUGUUUCUACAAAGAAUUUACGUAAUAUUUAAAAAUAGCCGUUCUGAAGUACAAGGACGGCUCGUUAGAAGACAGCAAUGCUGUCAGUGGUGCCGACCAUGGGUGGAUGGGUGAUAUCUGGUAAUUAGUUGCUAAUUAACAAUCUAAUAUAUCUUACUUUUAGUUUCAGCAGACUCAUUGUAACCAGGAAAUUAAAGCAAGCUCUCUGCACAAGACAUGUGAACUUUUGGAUCUGGAAAAAUACAAUUACCCGCAGAACUGUGGCGUGAUGAAUUUAGGCUGUCUGAGCACGCGAAACUGAAACUGAGAUGCUGCUGAAACUCAAGGCAACAUUUUGCUUACGUCGCCCAGCAGCGGGCUACCAGCACACUGCACGAAUCCCUAUUGCUGCCCACUGUUGGGUGAUGUGAGCAGAACGCCCCCUCGAAGGGCGCGUCUUUGUGCUCACUGUAGCCUCGGGUACAGUUUCGCGUGCUGUGAUAGCCAAAGUUCAUCGUGCUGCAGUUGUGUGGGUAAUUGCAUUUUUUCCAGAUUCUAAAGUCUAUAUGUGUUGUGCAGAGAGCUUGCUUCAAUUUCCCGAUUACGAUGAGUCCACUCAAACUAAAAAUAAAAUGUAUUUUAUUUUUGUUAUUUAGCAACUAAUUACCAUGUAUCACCCAUAACCUCGUGGUCGACACUGCUGGUGGCAUGUCUCCAAAGGAACCGUUGUUUUAUUUCAGAACGGCUGUUUUUACAUAUCAGCAAUAUGUUUGUAGAAACACCCUUACAGAGUUGUGUGAUAUACUGUUGAACAAAUCUUAUUGUGUACUCAGGUGAAAUAUGCACAGAUGAAGAGCAGAUAUAUACGUGGUGUCACCUCUAUUAAUGUACUAUAAUUUUUUUGUGUGAAGGCCACCACACAGUUUUUUUUUUGCAAAUGGCUGCUCUGUUUUUACUCACUCGUACUCUCUCAUUUGUACUCAGUAUACACGUAUAUUAUACCACAGAUAUACUGUGAUCCAUGUGAAUUACUGUGAUCAGUUGCAAACUAUAUAUUGUUAACUGCAGUGAUACUUUACAAAUAAUGUCUGUAUUUUAUUGCUCCUUGUAUGAAAUACAAUAAAGUUCAUUCACAUUUUCUUUUCAAAUUGUUACAUAUAGGUCUCAUAUAUAUGCUUCACCAUUUAGUUAAGCUUUGCAUUUUUGUGCGAAUGCAGCAGUGACUUCUUUUGCAUGUCCAUGGAGUGAAGCAGAAUACAUAUUAGCCAGAGAUCUAAGACAUGCUAAAUGUGAUGUUUUUGUGUGUGUAUAGUGCAUGUGUACGAUACGUAUAACUUGUGUUUGAAUUGUAUAGCUUGAGCAGAUUUAAAAAAAAGUGAUACAUCUCCGAUGACUGAGACCAUGAUGCAUAUUGAACUCCUGCAUGAGACAACAUGCACUUUUCAAAGCACGGCUCAUGGAAUAAUAUUUUAAAUCUCCACAUGCAUUAUACAUAUAUAUUGUUUAACUAUAAUUUAACUUAAAAAAACAUUUAAGUUCAGGCAACUGUAAGCAAUAUGCCAUAGGUCUCAUUCAUCUAUAAAGUGUUCCACUUUAAAGUUCGGUUCAAGCUAUUUGACAUCUGGUACAGGGGCUGUACACCCAUCUGGCACCCUCCACAGUGGGUGUUAAAUAAGGAAAAAUAAAUGAAGGGUGUAGCUGCCACCCUUCGGUUGGGGUGUUAUCACAACACCCUACAGUUUCUUUACAUGGGCACCCUUGUUUUAGGGUGUGCCGAAAAGGCACCUUGUAAAAUAGGUGCUAACUUACACCCUUAGGGUGUCGUCUCUGCGACAAGCCUAUUUACACCCUUCUGGGUGUAAAAACUUUUACUGUGU